rnacentral:lncRNA from 1 species
CGGAACGUAUUAUAAAACCCCUGACAAUAAAAUACGGGAUAGAAAAGCAGGAAACAAUUUCACAACCAAUCACUUACACAAACCAACGGAGUUACAAACGAAGGCCUACAGCCAAAAGUCUACAAAAGACCGGCUCUAAAAAAAUGAACUGUCCUACGACCUACAAGUCGGACACGCUCUCCAAUCCUUAUAACUUCACCUCCGCAACUCCUCAAGGCCAACCAAAG